GAUGAACGCUAGCUACAGGCUUAACACAUGCAAGUCGAGGGGAAACGACAUCGAAAGCUUGCUUUUGAUGGGUGUCGACCGGCGCACGGGUGAGUAACGCGUAUCCAACCUGCCCACCACUUGGGGAUAACCUUGCGAAAGUAAGACUAAUACCCAAUGACGUCUCUAGAAGACAUCUGAAAGAGAUUAAAAGAUUUAUCGGUGAUGGAUGGGGAUGCGUCUGAUUAGCUUGUUGGCGGGGUAACGGCCCACCAAGGCGACGAUCAGUAGGGGUUCUGAGAGGAAGGUCCCCCCACAUUGGAACUGAGACACGGUCCAAAACUCCUACGGGAGGCAGCAGUGAGGAAUAUUGGUCAAUGGGCGAGAGCCUGAACCAGCCAAGUAGCGUGCAGGAUGACGGCCCUAUGGGUUGUAAACUGCUUUUAUAAGGGAAUAAAGUUAGUCUCGUGAGACUUUUUGCAUGUACCUUAUGAAUAAGGACCGGCUAAAUUCCGUG
rnacentral:rRNA from 1 species